UCUCCUACAGUUGUUCAAAAUGCCACGAGCCACGAUUACACGAUUUUCCGGAUAAAUUUCAAGAGACAACUCUCUCCGUGCGCACUAUCGUGAUUUUCGGUCUAACGUUACACCGCCCUGGGCGAUUCUUGGUAUUUCUGGCGUCGCCGGGGAGAAACAAUACGACUCUUCUGUGGCAAAUUAAGGAGGGAUGCACUACGUAAGUAACUUUCGUGAGCGAGAUUCUUCGAUUAGCAAAGCAAGACGUAGUAGCGCGUCGUAGAGUUAUCGUCUGUCUCGACAUACAUAGAUAAAUAUUAUCAUCAGGUUUCAGCAUAAUCGUAAUGUAUAUAAAAAAUUGUCUUUACUUACGCCUAAAUUAGCAUGAUGCCUCGGUUAUAUAAAUAUAUUAUAUAUGUAUGUAUACAUAUACACGUAUUUUCAUAUCAUUAUAAUUAUUAUUGUAUUAUUUCCUUAUAUGUAUAUGUAUAUAUCUAUACCAUUCACAACACAGAGUGCAUAGUACGAAGCUGAAUGUCGAUCCGCUCGCUCUCGUAUAUAUCGCCAUUCUCUUACACACACGUACACCUACGUGUACUGUGCACUCGAGGAUGGAGUUAAAAGGAGAAGCGGAUCCAAAAGCCUCAAUGUAACAACGCACAACCAAUUUUUAUACAACCUGCGUGCAUUAUAGUGUCUCGUCACCUUAAAGUUGACUCGAAACUUAUACGUGUGCCACUGUGUGAAUUUAAUAACUACAAUUGAGACAUUGCGCUUCUCGCCGAACAGAAAGAAGAGGAACGUUCAAAUUAUCGCACAUAGCAACUGUUUGCAAAUUAUAUAUACGAAUCAUGCUGAACAAAUACCUCAAAGUGUUGCGUUUUCUCCGGCAAACGAUCGAGUGCGGUUAAUUAAAGCAACGGGAAUAAGUGUAACGGAUGUACAGGAGCAACGUAUUCAUCGAGACCGACUGCUGCCCUAUAUCUAGAGAAAUCAAACGUCCGUCCGGUGGCUGCCGCUAGUCGCGAGCGUUAAUACUGAAAUUCUGUGCACACGAAACACGGUAUCUCCCGACAGAAUGUUCGAUUACAGCAGAGAUUCAUCCACGCCUAGUACACGAUAGCGUUAUUCAAAAUAUGUAAUGUGUUCUAUCCUCGUCUUAUUUAAAUGUAUAGUUAAGUGCUAGCAUUA